rnacentral:rRNA from 1 species
CCUACGGGAGGCAGCAGUCGGGAAUUUUGGGCAAUGGGCGAAAGCCUGACCCAGCAACGCCGCGUGAAGGAUGAAGUAUUUCGGUAUGUAAACUUCGAAAGAAUGGGAAGAAUCAAUGACGGUACCAUUUAUAAGGUCUGGCUAACUACGUGCCAGCAGCCGCGGUAAUACGUAGGGACCAAGCGUUGUUCGGAUUUACUGGGCGUAAAGGGCGCGUAGGCGGCGUGACAAGUCACUUGUGAAAUCCCACGGCUCAACUGUGGAACUGCGUCGGAUACUGCGUUGACUUGAGGAUGGUAGAGGCCAUUAGAACUAGCGGUGUAGCGGUGAAAUGCGCAGAUAUCGCUAGGAAUGCCGGUGGCGAAGGCGGAUGGCUGGGCCACUCCUGACGCUGAGGCGCGAAAGCUAGGGGAGCGAACCGGAUUAGAUACCCCGGUAGU